UACAGAGGGGGGCAAGCGUUGUUCGGAAUUACUGGGCGUAAAGGGCGCGUAGGCGGCCUUCUAAGUCGAACGUGAAAUCCCUCGGCUUAACCGGGGAACUGCGUCCGAUACUGGAUGGCUUGAGAUCGGGAGAGGGAUGCGGAAUUCCAGGUGUAGCGGUGAAAUGCGUAGAUAUCUGGAGGAACACCGGUGGCGAAGGCGGCAUCCUGGACCGGUAUUGACGCUGAGGCGCGAAAGCUAGGGGAGCAAACGGGG
rnacentral:rRNA from 1 species